rnacentral:rRNA from 1 species
UACGUAGGGUGCGAGCGUUAUUCGGAAUUAUUGGGCGUAAAGCGCACGUAGGCGGCGUUGUAAGUCAGAGGUGAAAGCCCGGGGCUCAACUCCGGAAUUGCCUUUAAGGCUGCAUCGCUAGAAUUGUGGAGAGGUGAGUGGAAUUCCGAGUGUAGAGGUGAAAUUCGUAGAUAUUCGGAAGAACACCAGUGGCGAAGGCGACUUACUGGACACAUAUUGACGCUGAGGAGCGAAAGCGUGGGUAGCAAACAGG